AUACGGGAGACACUGGUUCCAGUGGUCCGUAUGCCCAUGGAAAGAAAGGCCAGUUCACUCAGGGAGGGAAAGAGAGGACACCCAUGCUGUUUAGCCAGAGCUGGUGACUGAAACGGGACACGCAGGCCUAGCACGAUGGUUUCCCUGAAGAUAUCACAAGAACGACUCCUUAGGAGGCACCAGCUCUGUGACAACCAUGUGGACAACAGCAGCUGAACCUGAAGCUGGAGAGCAAGUCCCCUGGCCCAUCAAAUCCAACUGCAGUCACUAAGCACCAGAUGUGCCAGAAGUGAUGCCAAUGCAUGACGAGGACUGAGAA